AUAAAAAAAAAAAAAAGGGUAAACUUCAAAUAUCACCUCUAUGGUUUCGCACUUUCUUACUUUAGUACCAUGUGGUUUACAGGCAUGUGGUUUCAUUUUUAUCUUUUCGUCAGCUUUUCUGUUAAUUUUUGUUAAAUUAUAUACAAAAAAUUUUAGGUACUUUAUCUAGAUUUAUCGAAUAUUCACUUUAGUAUCAUUUAGUUUUAACUUUAUUACUGAUUUAACAAAAAAAAUUAGUGGAAUCGAUAAUAAAAAAAGAAAAAUAAAAUCACGGGGUACUAAAUUGAUACAAUUUAAACCAUAUGGUACUAAAGUGGGAAAGUGUGAAACCACNUAUAUAUAUAUAUAUAUAUAUAUAUAUAUAUAUAUAUAUAUAUAUAUAUAGGGUGAAUCUAAUAAAAAUUACGGUGUCGUUAAUUGCACCGAGUUCUCAAUGAGAUGGUGAAUGUUGAAUAUGUGGACUUUAAUUAGGUUUUAGAUGCAUAAGCCAAAGAGGGGGAAUUAAAAAAAAAAAAAAGGGUAAACUUCAAAUAUCACCUCUGUGGUUUCGCACUUUCUCACUUUAGUACCAUGUGGUUUACAGGCCUGUGGUUUCAUUUUUAUCUUUUCGUCAGCUUUUCUGUUAAUUUUUAUUAAAUUAUAUACAAAAAACUUCAAAUACCCCACCUAGAUUUAUCGAAUAUUUACUUUAGCAUCUUUUAAUUUUAACUAUAUCACUGAUUUAACGAAAAAAAUUAGUGGAAUCGAUAAUAAAAAAAGAAAAAUAAAAUCACGAGGUACUAAAUUGAUACAAUUUAAACUACAUGGUACUAAAGUGGGAAAGUGUGAAACCACUAGGAUGGUAUUUGAAGUUUACCUUUUCGAAUAUGAGUAUAAAAAACGAAACACUGACAGAUUUAGAUUCGAUAUGGAUUUUGUCUGUAUCUGAACCUAACCCGAAUCCAACCCUAACCCGAAUUAAUUUUUUAUUAUAUAAUAUGGUAAAUGUUUGGCGUUACAUUUGAAUUUAUAUUUUAAAAAUUUAGAUCUAAUGUGUUUUGAAAUAUAGUAAACAAGUAAUAAUUGUUUCGGGAUUUGAGUUUCCAGGUUCAGGUUGGAGUUUUGGAUUUUUGGUCGAGUUCAAGUUCGGAUUUUGAAUUUGAUAGUUGGAUUUAGAUUUAGAUUUUUAAAAAUUCACUUCAAAUUC
rnacentral:lncRNA from 1 species